AGAUGCUUCAAGUACAAACCAGAGCUGAGGAUUUUGAAUAGACUCCAUUUAGUUUCUCUUCUGGAGGCCCAACCCACACAAUCCUAAUUUCUCUGCCUCUUAAGUUGAUGCCAUAACCAAGUACUGUGGAGACAUCAAAAGAAUGAAGACAAAGAAAACAUACAGAAUUGGAAGCCCUGCCUCCCCAAGGCACAGACAGAGUCUCCUCCGUCUUACUUGAGCUCCACCAAACUCAGGAAGCGUGCAAAUACUUUCAUCCUGCCAGCUUCACUCUGGAACUUUGCUUUCUUGGCUACUAUGGAAGAUCUAACUCUAGAAGUCUCCAUCAACAAUUUGGAAUGAUUUUUGCUUACCUGUGACACCCAGAAAAAAACAACGUUCACAAUUUUACACAGAAAUCAGUGACAUGCGUGGAAAGAAAAUGGAACAGAAGGUAGAAACCUGCGUUCUGGAAUUAGACUGCCGGCGUUUAAAGCUCAUCUCUGCCACUAACCACUUAUAUGAUGUUAGGCAAAUUAGUUUAUCUCUCUGUGCUACUAUUUUCUCAAAAGUAAAAUGUGAGUUGCAAUGUAGUUUGUUUAACUCGAAAAUUUUGAGAUUUGAAUAUAACAUUCAAACGCUAAGAUGUGUACCUGACACAGAAUAAAUGCUCAAUAACAAUAAUCUCUUUUUUAAAAAUGCACAAAAUGUAGAAAGCAAUACAUUGAAUUCCAUUCUUUAAAACGAGCACAUAUCUAAAUGCUGAGUAAUUUCUUACGGAGACCUUACAGAUACAGUUCUUUUUUCUAUUGUUUCCCCGGAAUUAUUCAGAAAAGCAUUUUCUUUAAGCAAGUUCUAAUGGCUGUCACUAUGAUUUAAAGCUUUCUACAGAAUCUUUCACAUAGGGUAUGCCUGCCUAAAUUACUUUGGACCUAGUUUUAGAUAAACUUCCAUAACAAGUGUUGAAUAAAUGCAUGAGUAAAUAAAGUAAAGCAAAACAGA
rnacentral:lncRNA from 1 species